rnacentral:rRNA from 1 species
GAACCUACCUUUAGGUACGGAACAACAGUUGGAAACGACUGCUAAUACCGUAUGUGCCCUAUGGGGGAAAGAUUUAUCGCCUAAGGAUGGGCCCGCGUUGGAUUAGCUAGUUGGUGGGGUAAAGGCCUACCAAGGCGACGAUCCAUAGCUGGUCUGAGAGGAUGAUCAGCCACACUGGGACUGAGACACGGCCCAGACUCCUACGGGAGGCAGCAGUGGGGAAUAUUGGACAAUGGGCGCAAGCCUGAUCCAGCCAUGCCGCGUGAGUGAUGAAGGCCCUAGGGUUGUAAAGCUCUUUCAGCGAGGAGGAUAAUGACGUUACUCGCAGAAGAAGCCCCGGCUAACUUCGUGCCAGCAGCCGCGGUAAUACGAAGGGGGCUAGCGUUGUUCGGAAUCACUGGGCGUAAAGCGCACGUAGGCGGACUUUUAAGUCAGGGGUGAAAUCCCGGGGCUCAACCCCGGAACUGCCUUUGAUACUGGAAGUCUUGAGUCCGAGAGAGGUGAGUGGAACUCCGAGUGUAGAGGUGAAAUUCGUAGAUAUUCGGAAGAA